GAUGAAUCCGCUUGUUUUUCUAUGCCUGGCUUAUUUUAUUUAACAUAUUUUCCAGGUUCAUCCAUAUGGCUCCAAAUGAAAAUUAUGUUAGUUUGUUAUGGAUGAGGAGUAUUGCGUUGUGCAGUUAUACUGCAGUUUCUUCAUCCCUUCAUCUGUGGGUGGACAGGUUCCACAGUGUUGCCACGGAUGACCUGAUUUCAGUACCCGUGUCUGGCUGAAGAGUAUCUGGUUGUGACUGGAUACUGCAGUUUCUGGAUCUCAUCCUCUGCGGGUGGACAGGUUUUUCCAUCUUGCUGGUAGUGAACUGAUGUCUGGAAGUUUGAUGGCCAAAGAGUAUACCGUUGUGCGUAUAUCCUUCAAUUCCUGUAUUUUUUCAUCUGUAGAAAGACAAGUAGGUUGAUUCCCCACCUUAGUUAUUGUCCAGAGUACUUCAUGAAACAUGGGAAGGGAGAUACCUCCUUAAGGUAGGUUUCCUUGGCUUUGCAGGUGUACCCAGUGUUGGGAUGGCUAGAGGAACUGGUGGUUGUGUUGUUGUUUCAGAAACCUCCAGCUGUCUCCCAGUGGGUAUACGAAUUUGCAUUCAAACCAGUAGUAUGUAAUAGUUCCUCUGUCUCUAAAUCUACACUGCCUUUAUCUUCCAAAGUUUUAUUGCUGUUUCUGGUCAUGCUCGUUCUCUGGGAAGAAACUCUUCUGAUGUGGACAAACUUUUCUAUUACCUGAGAGUCUGUUUCAGGUUUUUUCAGAAAUGCCUAUGCCAGUCUUCUGGGCAUUUUUAGCGUGUGUAUUGGUUUUUGUGUUUUUGUCCACUUAGGACCAUUAGUUUCUUGAAUAUGUUAGAUAAGAAGCCCUUCGAGAUCCACAGUUUUCCAUAAUUUUCUUCUAGUCUGCAAGAUGCCUUUUAUUUGGGUUCAGUAUUUUCUGUCCUGUGUUGAAGCUGUGUGAAGCUCUGAAGUUGUCCUUAGUCUUUCAUGGUUACAUUAGUUUUUCUUAGCGGUGAUUUCUGUGUCCCUUUGAGAAGAAAAGCGAGAUGGUGAAGCCAUUGUAUGGUCUAUGGGUAUUUGGUUUCUGUGUCUUCCUUUUCUGUUUGUAGCUUAGGUUCACAGGUUCAAGUUUCCCCAAAGUAGACACACACCCUAUGUGUUUUCCUUGGAGAUUUUGGUUUCAGGAUUGAACUUAGGUGUUCAGUAGAUUUUGUGUAGCUUUUUGUGUCUUGGGUAAAGGAAGGGUUCAGUCCUUUGCACGUGACCCCCCAGUUUCCUCAACCAUUGUCCCUUUGGUGUGCUUUUGGGGGAACAACAAGAAUCCCAUGGGUUCAGUGUGUAUAAUUGUGGGUUGAUUAUUUGGCUCCUUCGUUGUGUCCAUUUGGUUAUCUUUCUGUGUUCAUGCCACUAAUGGAUGGAUUGGAUCACUGUAGUCUUUUUGUUUUGUUUUGUGUGUUUUCUUCCUUUUUUCGAUUUUUAUUUCCAAAGCUGGGUUUUCUAAAAUGAUAGCUACUUUUAUUGUGAUCGAGGGCCAUGCCUGCAGGUUCACUUCACUAUAUGGCUAUACAGUAGAAUUUUGAUGCUUGGGGUCCUAAUGUACCCGUCAUCUGGGCGGUGAACACAGCACCAGUUGGAUCAUUCUUCCUCCAAGGCUCCCUGUCUCCCUUUUUUUUUCUGUCUGGUAGUACCCAACGUCUGUUGAUUUCAUCUUUAUGUUGAUGUGUAUUGGGUGUUGAGCUUCCACUUAUAAAUGAGAACCUGUAGUGUUUGGUCUUUGUUCUUGCCUCAGUUGCUUUGCAGAGUGGCCUCUAGUUUCACCCAUGUUCCUACUGAGGGCAUAAUUUUGUUUCUGUGUUUGAUUUUCCUUAGUGGCUUUUUAGCAUUCUGUGAUGUAUGGGUACCACAUUUUAAAAAAUCUCAUUUUCUGUUGGUGGGCAUCUAGGUCAGUUUUACAUCUUUAUUCCUGUGAGUAACACUCCCGUGGACGUGUGAGUGUCUGUGUCUUUUUGAUAGACGCAUGUGUUUUUCCCUGGGGUAGAUGCACGGGGUGGGA